rnacentral:lncRNA from 1 species
AUCUGGACAGACUGGAUAGCUAGGCUGGGGUCUGCAUGUGUUUGAUGAGAGAGGAGGUCUCAAGCAGAGUGCAAAAUCUCCAGACAGAGGGAGGCUCACACAAAAAUCUUUGAGAAAUGAUGCAUUAAGUGUGUUUCACCUGCUUAUCAUCUCCUGAAAAGAAGGAGAGCGUGUAGGGAGUUCCUACUAUGUGUUGUACCUUUUGGAUUAAUGUGUAAACACCAGUGAUACAUUACUGCUGUAUGCACAUUAAAAACCAUAAUGAAGAAAAAGCUGACAGAAAGACAGAGGCAAAAUCUUUGGCAGGUGCAACAAGGAGCAGGAUAACUUGAACAGAUGCUGAGGGACUCAGAAAGGGUGCAUCCCCUAAUGUCUAUACGUCUGUGACUGUGGGUGCUGGAUGAGUACCAGGGAAUGAGCCUCAGAAAACAUCUGGGCCUGGUGUCCUCCCUGAAUUUUCCUUCUUUUGCUGCUGACAGGGAUGCUACUGUGAGACUCAUUUGGCUCCACAAGGAUUUCUUACAAUUUUAAGCUCUUAAACUGUGCUGAGUGGAAGACUUGAAAACUGAAGAACAUUUUUAACUUCUGAAAACCUUGAUCGAUGCAAAGCUGGGACUGCAAGUGGAGAGACACAAGUGAGUUGUUCAUCCACCUGUGACUUAACUGGAGAGAAGCUACCGCGUGUCCUCUUUGGUCCCCUUGACUCCCGUGCUCAUGGUUUAGCAGGAGGCAAGUGCAGUUCCUGAGAUCAGAGACUGGAGUAGUGUGUUGCCAAUGUGACUUGGAUUUCUCUUCCAUUCCCUUUGUAUCUCUUCUGAAGAGCAGACCACCAUCUGUGUCCAGCACAUCUCUUUAUAUGUCUCAUAAACAUAAUGAGGUAGUCUCAUAGAAUAUUUUUAAAUGCAGACAAGCCUGUUUCUCUAGUAAAAAUAUAGGACGUAGAAGAAGCAAUAUUUUCAUUUCUUUAUGUUUUUUGUUACUGCUGUUGUUAUUUACAAAACUACUCAUCAAAGCUGCAACACAUGGUAAAAGUGACAAAGUUAAGAUCCAUGUGCAAAUAAA